UGGGGAAUAUUGGACAAUGGGGGCAACCCUGAUCCAGCGACGCCGCGUGUGUGAAGAAGGCCUGCGGGUUGUAAAGCACUUUUAGUGGGGAUGAAAAGCACAUUGCUAAUACCAGUGUGUCCUGACCUAACCCAAAGAAAAAGCACCGGCUAACUCUGUGCCAGCAGCCGCGGUAAUACAGAGGGUGCGAGCGUUAAUCGGAAUUACUGGGCGUAAAGCGUGCGUAGACGGUUAUCUAAGUCGGAUGUGAAAGCCCCGGGCUCAACCUGGGAAUUGCAUUCGAGACUGAAUAGCUAGGGUACGGUAGAGGGAAGUGGAAUUUCCGGUGUAGCGGUGAAAUGCGUAGAGAUGUGGAGGAAUACCGAUGGCGAAGGCAGCCCCCUGGGCUAACACUGACGCUCAUGCACGAAAGCGUGGGGAGCAAAC
rnacentral:rRNA from 1 species